rnacentral:piRNA from 1 species
UAAAAUCCUGUAGAGUCAAACUCCCUUCGA